rnacentral:rRNA from 1 species
GACGAACGCUGGCGGCGUGCCUAAUACAUGCAAGUCAAGCGGAUUGAUGGGAGCUUGCUCCCUGAUAUCAGCGGCGGACGGGUGAGUAACACGUGGGCAACCUGCCUAUAAGACUGGGAUAACUUCGGGAAACCGGAGCUAAUACCGGAUAAUCCCUUUCCUCUCAUGAGGAAAGGCUGAAAGAUGGUUUACGCUAUCACUUAUAGAUGGGCCCGCGGCGCAUUAGCUAGUUGGUGAGGUAACGGCUCACCAAGGCAACGCUGCGUAGCCGACCUGAGAGGGUGAGCGGCCACAGUGGGACUGAGACCCGGCCCAGACUCCUACGGGAGGCAGCAGUAGGGAGUCUUCCGCAAUGGGCGAAAGUCUGACGGAGCAACGCCGCGUGAGUGAUGAAGGUUUUCGGAUCGUAAAACUCUGUUGUUAGGGAAGAACAAGUACGAGAGUAACUGCUCGUACCUUGACGGUACCUAACCAGAAAGCCACGGCUAACUACGUGCCAGCCGCCGCGGUAA